AGUGAACGCUGGCGGUAGGCCUAACACAUGCAAGUCGAACGGCAGCACAGUAAGAGCUUGCUCUUACGGGUGGCGAGUGGCGGACGGGUGAGGAAUACAUCGGAAUCUACUUUUUCGUGGGGGAUAACGUAGGGAAACUUACGCUAAUACCGCAUACGACCUACGGGUGACAGCAGGGGAUCUUCGGACCUUGCGCGAUUGAAUGAGCCGAUGUCGGAUUAGCUAGUUGGCGGGGUAAAGGCCCACCAAGGCGACGAUCCGUAGCUGGUCUGAGAGGAUGAUCAGCCACACUGGAACUGAGACACGGUCCAGACUCCUACGGGAGGCAGCAGUGGGGAAUAUUGGACAAAGGGCGCAAGCCUGAUCCAGCCAUACCGCGUGGGUGAAGAAGGCCUUCGGGUUGUAAAGCCCUUUUGUUGGGAAAGAAAAGCAGCAGGUUAAUACCCCGCUGUUCUGACGGUACCCAAAGAAUAAGCACCGGCUAACUUCGUG
rnacentral:rRNA from 1 species